AUGCCGGAUGCUCCGACUCCUCGCAUGGGGUGUCGGGAAAGAUUUCAUCGGUAUGGGAUGGGGUCGCGUCCUAUCAGGUAGUCGGCGGGGUAACGGCCCACCGAGCCUACGACGGGUAGCCGGCCUGAGAGGGCGACCGGCCACAUUGGGACUGAGAUACGGCCCAGACUCCUACGGGAGGCAGCAGUGGGGAAUAUUGCACAAUGGGCGCAAGCCUGAUGCAGCGACGCCGCGUGCGGGAUGACGGCCUUCGGGUUGUAAACCGCUUUUGAUCGGGAGCAAGCCUUCGGGUGAGUGUACCUUUCGAAUAAGCACCGGCUAACUACGUGCCAGCAGCCGCGGUAAUACGUAGGGUGCAAGCGUUAUCCGGAAUUAUUGGGCGUAAAGGGCUCGUAGGCGGUUCGUCGCGUCCGGUGUGAAAGUCCAUCGCUUAACGGUGGAUCUGCGCCGGGUACGGGCGGGCUGGAGUGCGGUAGGGGAGACUGGAAUUCCCGGUGUAACGGUGGAAUGUGU
rnacentral:rRNA from 1 species